UUUAGAUUACUUCACAGUCAGCACAAGUACGUAGGCAAUACGUCGCAUAAACGGCGGAUGGUUGCAAUUGGAUCGCGUUCCAUUACGAAGCAUCACGUUUUAUUCGCGAUAACGUCGGACCGUCGCGGUGUUGAAAAGCGUUGCUCGUCUAAAUGUCGUAUCGUCGCUUUUAAGUCGAAGGUCGCUUUUUGGUAGGGAAAACUACGCAUCACGUCGGGUCUUGUUUAGAAAAGGGCUUGUUUGCCUCUGGAAGUAAUAAUAUUACUACAAUAAUAUUAUUUCAUGUAGUAAUAUUACUUGUCAUAUUAUAGGGUAUGGUAUGAUUCACACAGCUAUUUUAUAUACUGGACAUUGUUAAAUGUUUCUUGUUAUUAUCGAUAAUGUUUAUUUGAUAUCCUGCUUAUAUGACAGUAUUUUAAAUAAGAGUGCGCACUUGUGUGGAGAUCUAUUGAGAGAUGUCUCACUGUGGGUGAAGACUUGGCAAUGUCAGAUGGCUAUACAUGCAACUGUUCUUAAAUAAGUGUGUUGUUAGGGAGACAAUGGUCUGCUUCUGCAGUUGUAGUCCAUCAUGUUUUCGCUGAAAGUACUCCAGUGGUUUUCCAAUAAGUUCUGGGUGCUUUGUUUCGAUAUGCCACUUGAGUUUUGAUGGUUUUAGAGCUUCGUUUGAAAGUGUUUAAUCCACAAUACACACACUGUGCCUUGGGCUUACAGGGCUGUCUUAAAGCAAUGCAUUCUGGUCCUGACGCAAUGCAUCAUGGUUAGAUGUAAACGUGGUGCUGGCAGCCCUAUACGGACCAAUAGCCAGUCUUGAUUUUAAAUUCGCGGCCCAAUCUGUAGCCUUCGUGGCUCAUCAGUGGUUGAGAAACGUGGUUUUAUAAGAUAUUUUGUUCCCUGUUAAAUCAUCUUUAAAAGACAAGAAAAAAAAAGUCUAUUCCAUCGCCUACGCUUGGUUGGAAAGAUGUUCCUUCGAGAAAUUUGUUACCCACAGAGCAACUUGUACCAAGUCAAUGCACACUGUGCAGAGGAUGGUGGACUUCCACUGCAAGACAUUGAGGAGCUGAAGAACAUCGAAAUGCAGUUGGGAAAUGUUGACUUUAAACUGGUUUCCAAACUGUCACUGGCUGGGGUCAAACACUAAAGAAAACAGUCUGGAAGAUCUGUGGAAAGGUGUUUGCUCCCCAGUUGGCAGUUCAUUUAAACUGGUGUGGCAGAGGGGACAAAACACCGAUGAGGAAUACAAACCUCAUAGAUGUGAUUAUCCGUAAGUAAAACUAAUGUUUAGGCAAAGAGUCUGCAUUACGAAACCCACUGGUGUCUAGUCCAAGUGAGGCUGAAGCUGAAACGACCAUCAAAGAGUGGCUCGUGACAGGCUGACCAGGCGUGUCCGAUAGUUCUUUCCUUUCAGUAUUUUUUUUUUCUGUA